GGAGGAAUAUUGGGCAAUGGACGAAAGUCUGACCCAGCAACGCCGCGUGAAGGAUGAAGGCCUUCGGGUCGUAAACUUCUUUUGAGGGAGACGAGAAAGGACGGUAUCCCUCGAAUAAGCCACGGCUAACUACGUGCCAGCAGCCGCGGUAAAACGUAGGUGGCGCGCGUUAUCCGGAUUCAUUGGGCGUAAAGAGCUUGUAGGUGGUGCGAUAAGUUGGACGUGAAAACUCCGGGCUUAACUUGGAGAGGCCGUUCAAUACUGUUGUGCUAGAGGGCGUCAGAGGGAAGUGGAAUUCCUGGUGUAGCAGUGAAAUGCGUAGAUAUCAGGAGGAACAUCCGUGGCGAAGGCGGCUUCCUGGGGCGUACCUGACACUGAGAAGCGAAAGCUAGGGGAGCAAACGGG
rnacentral:rRNA from 2 species